CCCACACCCACCCGAUUGGGAGGGGUUGCCUCUCCCUGUGUCCACACAUAUGCCUUGAGUUGCUCUUCAGUGAAUAUCACUUUUCCUUUCAUGUUUUUUCUACAUGCUAUUAUCUGUAUGAAAUGAAGACCAAGAAAGGAUGGGAAGAAGGAGAAGAAAAAUUUUGAUUUAUCUCAGAAACUAUACUCCGAAGUGAGAGUCCUGGUUGCAGGUGCAACUGAAGGACUAUGGCUAUGGUAGCUGCCCAGGAAGACUGGCCAUCCGAUUCAUGCUUGUGCAGUCCUUGGACUUUUAGAUCUACCAGGAUCAUCACAUUUUGGAGUUCUCAGUCCUGUGUACAAAGUCCAACUAUCUGAGGCCACCAUGCACUUAGGAUGUCCAGGCCACCUGGAGAGGCUACCAGAUAUGUGUAUGAAGAAGUUGUCUUGAAAGUGGAUCUUCCAGCCCAUGUUAUUCUAGCUACAGCUGUUUGAGUCUCCUUGUACAAGCCCCAGACAUCAUGGAAUGGAGAAGAGCUGAGCCACGGUGUCCUCUCCAAAUUCUCAAUCCACAAAACUCAUGAAAAUAAUAAAAUGAUUGUGUCUUUGUGCUACUAAAUUUAGGGAAAUUUGUUAUUCAGCAAAGAUGAUUAGAACAAGAGACCACAAUUUGACUAUCAUAUUUCAGAAAUGACACAGAUCCAGAGAGG
rnacentral:lncRNA from 10 species